rnacentral:rRNA from 1 species
GACGAACGCUGGCGGCGUGCUUAACACAUGCAAGUCGAACGGAAAGGCCCUGCUUUUGUGGGGUGCUCGAGUGGCGAACGGGUGAGUAACACGUGAGUAACCUGCCCUUGACUUUGGGAUAACUUCAGGAAAAUGGGGCUAAUACCGGAUAGGAGCUCCUGCUGCAUGGUGGGGGUUGGAAAGUUUCGGCGGUUGGGGAUGGACUCGCGGCUUAUCAGCUUGUUGGUGGGGUAGUGGCUUACCAAGGCUUUGACGGGUAGCCGGCCUGAGAGGGUGACCGGCCACAUUGGGACUGAGAUACGGCCCAGACUCCUACGGGAGGCAGCAGUGGGGAAUAUUGCACAAUGGGCGGAAGCCUGAUGCAGCAACGCCGCGUGCGGGAUGACGGCCUUCGGGUUGUAAACCGCUUUCGCCUGGGACGAAGCGUAAGUGACGGUAAUUGGUAAAGAAGCACCGGCUAACUACGUG